AUGCAGGCCCCUCCCCGGCCCGCCCGCGGGUCUCACCGGGGCCCCGGCCUGGGCCGCGGGGCGGGGGGUCGGUCUCCGGGGGACGCCUCGGGUGCGUGGAGGGCGCGGGCGCGAGCUCCCGCCGCUGCCAGUGGUCCCCGAGCGGCCGCCGCCGCCACCGCCUUAUCGCGGCGCCGCCCCCGCCGGCCCCCGCCCCGCGCCCGCCCAUUGGCUCCGCCGCGCCCGGAGCCGCCUCCGGGGCCCCGGCGCCGCCGCCGACCCCCUCUGCGCUUUGUCUUCCCCUCGCUCGCGUCCCCUGCCUUUGUCUGCCCCGCCGCCCCGACCCCGCGCUCCGGCGCCCGCGCCGCCCCCGCCGGCCCGCUCCAGACCGAGGCGGGGACGAUCGCCGGGGCGUCCCUGGGCCUCCCGCGGCCUCAGUUUCCCCAGGGUGACAGCCCCGCGGGGGCGGCCGGGUCCGGGAUCCCACGCCCGCUCCGGCCGCGGAGCCCUCCCGCCGCCAGAGGCCGCCCCCGAGGCGGCAGGGCCAGCCGGCACGCGGUCCCGCCCCGCGAGGCUGCGAGGCUGCGAGGCUGCGAGGCGCGGCGCCCCGUGGUGGUCACCUGGGGCCGCCGGCUCCCCGCGGGCCGGUCUGUGGGGGUCCGGUCUGCUGCGACCCCACAGGCAAGGGCCCCCGGAGGCUGCAAGGCCCGCGGCGCGACAGCGUUCCUGUGGUGCCCGUGUGUGGCGGGAGUCCCGCCGCGCCUCACCCACCGACACCGUCGCCUGAGAGAAAUCGAGGGCACCCCCUUCGGACGGUUCCGUCCUUCAGACAAGCGAAUCUCAAUCUCGGCGCCCGAACCUCCCUUGAACCUCCCUUACCGCGAGGGAGCGAGGGAGCGAGGCCUGAAGAUGCAACGCCGGCUCCAAGUACCCAAGCUGGGCGGCGGGCUUGGCCGCUCCGUACUCCCUGCCCGCUGGCCCAGCGGCUGCCCGGGCUCCAGCACACCGCUGGACGGUGGGAGGGCACAGGGGGUGACUGUCACCCACGGGGGGGGGGGGGGGUAG
rnacentral:lncRNA from 1 species